AUUGAACGCUGGCGGCAGGCCUAACAAAUGCACGUCGAGCGAGCGGCGGACGGGUGAGUAAUGUAUGGGGAUCUGCCUGAUGGAUGGGGAUAACUACUGGAAACGGUAGCUAAUACCGCAUACCAUCCGAUGAGACCAUAUGGGAUUAGCUAGUAGGUGGGGUAACGGCUUACCUAGGCGACGAUCCCUAGCUGGUCUGAGAGGAUGAGCAGCCACACUGGGACUGAGACACGGCCCAGACUCCUACGGGAGGCAGCAGUGGGGAAUAUUGCACAAUGGGCGCAAGCCUGAUGCAGCCAUGCCGCGUGUAUGAAGAAGGCCUUCGGGUUGUAAAGUACUUUCAGUCGGGAGGCGUUACCGACAGAAGAAGCACCGGCUAACUACGUGCCAGCCGCCGCGGUAAUAC
rnacentral:rRNA from 1 species